AUUGAACGCUGGCGGAAUGCUUUACACAUGCAAGUCGAACGGUAGAGGGGGCAACCCCUUGAGAGUGGCGAACGGGUGAGUAAUAUAUCGGAACGUGCCCAGUCGUGGGGAUACGUAGCGAAGUUACGCUAAUACCGCAUACGAUCUACGGAUGAAAGCGGGGGGACUCGCAAGAGCCUCGCGCGAUUGGAGCGGCCGAUAUCAGGAUUAGGUAGUUGGUGGGGUAAAGGCUCACCAAGCCAACGAUCUGUAGCUGGUCCUGAGAGGACGAUCAGCCACACUGGGACUGAGACACGGCCCAGACUCCUACGGGAGGCAGCAGUGGGGAAUUUUGGACAAUGGGCGAAAGCCUGAUCCAGCAAUGCCGCGUGCAGGAUGAAGGCCUUCGGGUUGUAAACUGCUUUUGUACGGAACGAAAAGGUUUCCAUUAAUACUGGGAGCUCAUGACGGUACCGUAAGAAUAAGCACCGGCUAACUACGUG
rnacentral:rRNA from 1 species